rnacentral:lncRNA from 1 species
CGGAGCCUAUUUAUAACAUCUCAGAGCAAGCCCGUUAUUUAUUGGGGUAAAAUUGGCUAUCUGGAAAGGUAUGGGUCUGCUCAGGGUCAGGAGGACUGCAAAUACCCAUUUUCUAGUCCUGGCCCUGCAAACCUCCCAGAUGAGAAGGCUGUCAGCUUCAUAAGCAGGCAUCGCUGCACGACAGGAAGACAAUUACUGAGAGGGAACAUUUCUCCUGGGCUCCACAAUUUACCAGCAGAUCAGCAAUCAAUUUACAGCGCAGCAGCUUGCGGUGCCCGCUGCCUCCCUGUCAUCCCCCUGUGCUCGGGAGAGGCCCCGCCAGGCACAGGCUGGAGGUGCAGCGUGGGUGGUGGUGGAGGUGAGGACACUCGAGGAGGAGAGGCUGAGGACGAAGGCAAGCAGCGACACAGGAGAGACAGUCCAGCAGAAAUGUGGACUCACAUCUGUGAAUCCCGUGCACAGGCAGAGGUGUGGGGCAGGGGCAGGCAGUGCAGCGUGCCAUGGCAGAAACCACCUCUGACCCGUGGCUUGACCACCACGCUGCUGCUCAUGCUUCUUGAAAAGGGCAUUGCAGAACUGCAAGGAGACCAGAGGUGUGCUGUGACGAUCACCUGGGCUUUGGAUGGCUCCUAAGCAAGGAAUGGUUCGGUAGGUUGGGACAGUGCUACAGACUGGGAAAAUAAAUGGCCCAGGGAGAGUAUUAGAGAAGUCUAC